CCCAGAACAUGUCAAAACAAAAACAUAAACCAGCGCGCAGCAGCCACUCAAACUCUCCUCUUGCGAGUGAAAAAUGCCCAGCGCUAGGGUUCCCCACCGCCGCCACCAGUCGCCCCGAGCCUCUCAGCCGCUCCGGUGACCUCCAAGGCUGCUGCCGCCGGCCUCACCGGUCGACACAGUCGUUGGUGUGCGCGACAUGUCGGGAGGGUAGGCCAUUCGGCCGCUCCACUGUCGGUCGGGCCUUACCUCCGGUCGCCGCCGGCUGCUCCUCAAAUCCUUAGCCUCCCCAACCUCUCAUCUACGCCCUUUGCUCUAUUCCUUGGGUCGUUGACCACCAACCCGUCGCCUUUGCAUCGAACAUCUCCGUCCUCGUCCGAGCCACCGUUGCCGCCCCAUCCUCCUCCAACCACGGACAAUCCCCAUCCAUAUGCCUAGCUAUGAAACUCCACUACAUGCUCUCUCCAUCUUAGUUUAUUUCCCCGGCUGUGUGCACGAUCGCAUAUCUUCUGGAUGGAAGUGUUUUAGUAUUUAUUCAUUGGAUCUAUGCGUAUUUUUUUCAGCUCAUCUCGUCAUGUGCUUUGUUUGGAGGAACUGGGACUCGCUUGGAUCUGGCACAGUGCUCUACCACCUCACCAAAUCGACUGUGUUUCACCUUUGGUACUAACUGCUCAACAAUGCUACAAGGGAUGCUCGUAAUUUUCCCACUUGGACCACCUGAUUGGGAUACUGUGGUGGACUUUGGGAGUUUGUUAGCCAGCUUUCUGACUCACUAUUUCAGCAAGCCUUUGGUAAGCAUUAAACUUUCCGCAUUACAUUUUUUCCUUAUGUGUACAUUUGUUUGCUUCCAAUUACUAUAUAUGUAUUGUUGUUGCUAAAUAGCUCAUCUUAAGUAUGAUGUGUUGAGCUUAAAUUAUCAAAUAGCUCAUAUAUUCCAUUUUCAACAUAGAAUUUGUUAAAUGGCAGUUCAUACAUGGAUGUAUAGUGAUUGGCAGUUUGUUCAAAUUCCUUCUAACCUAUGGCUUGAACAAACCAACCGAUUUCUAGACCAUGCAUUCUCUUUUCCUGGCGUAGCCGAAGGUGGUAAAAUCAAGUGUCCAUGUGCCAAGUGUCGUAAUUAUUUUAAGCGUGGUACGGAUGAGGUAGAGAAGCACUUCUAUAAAUAUGGAUUUAGGGAUUACUAUGAAAUGUGGACAGAACAUGGUGAGAUGUUCCUAGCCAAGACGGAUUCGCCUCUGCCACAAAUUGUGUAAGGCAUGAUGAAAUUGGCCAAAUGGUUAACCGAAUGGACAAUAUGUUAGUUGAGCUCGGUGGACCCUAUCCUCCACCAAUUGAUGAAGAACCAACAUCCUCUGCCAAGGUUUUCUAUAGGAUGGUUAGUAGUGCUGAUGAAAUUGUCCAUGAGAACACAACACACUCGCGUCUUUCUGCAGUAGCCCGUUUGCUUGCAAUGAAAUCUCAGUAUAAUAUGUCAAUUGCAGAAUAUGAUGUUGUGUUAAAAAUCACCCAUGAACUUAUGCCUCCAGGUGCUAACUUGUCCAAGGACUUCUACAAAUCUAAGAAACUCUUAGAAGGCCUUGGUAUGCCUUAUGUCAAAAUUGAUGUGUGUAAAAAUAACUGCAUGUUGUACUAUAAAGAUAAUGAGCAUAAAGAGAAGUGUGACAUAUGCGGUACAUCUCGCUACGAAGAAGGCCAGAAUAAAGUCCCACGUAAAGUGUUGAGAUACCUCCCUAUUAAAGAUAGAUUACAGAGGUUGUAUGCAGAGAAAUAUGGACCUGAAAGGGCUACCACGUUGAAUACAUAUGCUGCAAUGAAAUAUGGACUCAAGAAUUGGGAUGGCAGUGGUAGAACUAGCACGACCCUCAGCAGGAAGGCAAAAAAACUCUUCGAACAUUCUUUCUUAUCUUCUUUUCACUAAGUACUUGUUCUACAUGCAUCUAUACAAGUUAAUAUCGCUAGUGUUCUAGGAUGAUUACUCUGCUUUGGCUAGAGCCGCACAUCCUGAUGAUUGGGACCAGUGAGAGUUGGAUGGGCAAAUAUUAUAUGAAUCAUCAGGUGGCAUUCCCCAUGGGCGACUAGCAAUAGCAGAUGUGGCAAUUAAGAAGGCUGAUGUUAUCUCAAUGGCUAGAGAAAAGAAAUUGAGGCCCUCAACUUCAGUGGCACAUCGACGAACUGUUCAAGAAAAUGAAGAGCUGAAGCGACAUAAUGUGAACAUGCAGCGACAUAAUGAGAACCUACAACAUAAAGUGGAUAUGCAUGAACAGAUCCUAGUGGCCCUUUUUAAGGAGAUGGGAAAAGAAGUACCAGCAGAGCUAUGCCAAGGAGCGAGUUCCCAACCAUAUGUAAGUUUUUGCACAUGCCUUCUCAACGUACUGCAUUUCCAAAUUGCACCAUUGAGACUUUAGAACUUAAAGCACCCAAACUUAUGCUCAACACGUUUGGAUCCAUUUCUGUUUUCUUGAGAAUCUGUGCCAACUUAAUGUUGUGCAAACCCUAUUUGCUUAACCAUCAGCUAAAUUUUUUCUUGUAAUAGGCUUGCUCGGGAUUGAUUUUUUUUAUAUUAUAUUAAAUUGACACACAACCCUAAGCUAUAAUGCCAAUCCACUCCAUGAAAAGAUUUUAAAGAAAUACCUUUAACCUUAGUGUCAUUCCUGUACUAUAGUAUUGUUCAUCCUCAUAUCAAGAUAUAUACUUAGAAAAUAGUGUAUAUACUCAGUCUCAACAGUGAUGAUAAAAGGUUGUGUGAAGACCAGGAUUCAGAAGUAGUAGACUGAUUAGUAUCUUAUAUGUCUCUUACCACUUUGCAUGGUUCCUGAAGCAAUCUGUGCAUCUUUGAGAUCUGCUAUGGUUAGUGCCUCCAUAUCUCAUUUACAAGUAUAGACCACUUGAGAUCUUCAUGAUUUAGAGACCACUUGAAGCUAUAUAUUUACAUAGAACUAGAUGAGUCACCUACAUUCACAUUUUAGAACCAUGUAAAUCGCUGGAGUAUUUUUCUUCUCCAUUCACAUUUUAGACGCUUUCAAAAAAUAUUUAUAUCCUGAUAGUUUUAUUUAUGCAAUUUAGACUAACUAUAAAUCAAGUUCAUCGACCAUACAUGAUUGGGAUGUUCAUAGGUAUUGUAGAGCUUGUAAUCUUUCCCUGAUUUGUUGUAUGUGUCGCACUCUCAACUCUAUGGUUCUGUUCUAUAAAAAAAUGAAUAGAUUUCUCUUCCAUUGCCCCCAUUCAACAUAAAAAUUAUUUCAAAUUGAGCUCGUUGAUCUUACAUGAUUGCGAUAUAUUAUUUCAAUAAUAUCAUAAUGCCAAAUAUUAUGUUGCCAUAUAUAUGCUCUUUGGACUACGGUAUUGAUAUGAAGACAUUUGUUGUAAUGCUAAAUAUUAUGUAGUAAUGCAAAAUAUUAUGACAUGGAUGUGAUAUGGAUCAUACUAUAUAUAUAUAUAUAUGGAUGGGAUAUUAAUUA